rnacentral:lncRNA from 1 species
CUGACAAUUUGGAAAGUAACACAUGAACUAGGUUUUGUGCUACUUGAAAAAUAUCACCUAGAGUAUAGACACAAGCAAACAAUACUCCAGCAAUGUAAAGGAAGCAAAAGCAAGCUUAAACCAAAAAAGAAACUUAGAAAUCAAAUAAAAACGAACCUGGACAAAAAAUAUUGCAUUUAAUUCACUUCAACGCAAAUUAAAUAUGGAUCUACUUAAAUCUACCCAAAAAGGAAAGUAUCAAAACCCCACAAAUAGAAUCAGAAAAGAAAAAUGUAAAUUUCUCUCAGAUCAGAAACAUGGAC